rnacentral:misc_RNA from 1 species
UCUCCGUUGGUGAACCAGCGGAGGGAUCAUUACCGAGUUUACAACUCCCAAACCCCUGUGAACAUACCUUAAUGUUGCCUCGGCGGAUCAGCCCGCGCCCCGUAAAACGGGACGGCCCGCCAGAGGACCCAAACUCUAAUGUUUCUUAUUGUAACUUCUGAGUAAAACAAACAAAUAAAUCAAAACUUUCAACAACGGAUCUUUUGGUUCUG